GAUGAACGCUGGCGGCGUGCUUAACACAUGCAAGUCGAACGAUGAAGCCCAGCUUGCUGGGUGGAUUAGUGGCGAACGGGUGAGUAACACGUGAGUAACCUGCCCUUAACUCUGGGAUAAGCCUGGGAAACUGGGUCUAGUAACGGAUAGGAGCGUUCACCGCAUGGUGGGUGUUGGAGAGAUUUAUCGGUUUUGGAUGGACUCGCGGCUUAUCAGCUCGUUGGUGAGGUAUUGGCUCACCAAGGGGACGACGGGUAGCCGGCCUGAGAGGGUGACCGGCCACACUGGGACUGAGACACGGCCCAGACUCCUACGGGAGGCAGCAGUGGGGAAUAUUGCACAAUGGGCGCAAGCCUGAUGCAGCGACGCCGCGUGAGGGAUGACGGCCUUCGGGUUGUAAACCUCUUUCAGUAGGGAAGAAGCGAAAGUGACGGUACCUGCAGAAGAAGCACCGGCUAACUACGUG
rnacentral:rRNA from 1 species